CUUUCCCUCUGGCGGCAUGCCUUACACAUGCAAGUCGAACGGCAGCACGGGUGCUUGCACCUGGUGGCGAGUGGCGAACGGGUGAGUAAUACAUCGGAACAUGUCCUGUAGUGGGGGAUAGCCCGGCGAAAGCCGGAUUAAUACCGCAUACGAUCUACGGAUGAAAGCGGGGGACCUUCGGGCCUCGCGCUAUAGGGUUGGCCGAUAGCUGAUUAGCUAGUUGGUGGGGUAAAGGCCUACCAAGGCGACGAUCAGUAGCUGGUCUGAGAGGACGACCAGCCACACUGGGACUGAGACACGGCCCAGACUCCUACGGGAGGCAGCAGUGGGGAAUUUUGGACAAUGGGCGAAAGCCUGAUCCAGCAAUGCCGCGUGUGUGAAGAAGGCCUUCGGGUUGUAAAGCACUUUUGUCCGGAAAGAAAUCCUUGGCUCUAAUACAGUCGGGGGAUGACGGUACCGGAAGAAUAAGCACCGGCUAACUACGUG
rnacentral:rRNA from 1 species